UGGACUACAGAUAGCUGUGUUAGUACCAGUCCUACUGGACCCCAGAAUAGGUAAGAGUUGUGAUGAAGGGAAGUCAUUCCUGACUGAAGUCCCAGACUCCCCUGCUGCUGCUGCUUACCACACUAUAGUACAGAGUAUCCAGGCCUACUGCUUGUCCCAUGUGACACGGGAGGAGAGUGCUGUCUAGAAGCCAGUCUGGAGGCCGCCAUGUUGCUCUGGAUGCCAGGGACGGAUCACAUGUCCAGGGUCCUACUGUCUGGAGAAUGAAUUAAUCACAUAGUGUCUCAGAGUAGUACUGCUGAUGUAGGAUCAGGACCCCCAUUCACAAAGUGUCUGAGUAGUACUGCUGAUGUAGGAUCAGGGCCCCCCAUUCACAAAGUGUCUGAGUAGUACUGCUGAUCAGCCCCCCCCCCCCCAUUCACAAAGUGUCUCAGAGUAGUACUGCUGAUGUAGGAUCAGGACCCCCAUUCACAAAGUGUCUCAGAGUAGUACUGCUGAUCAGGACCCCCAUUCACAAAGUGUCUCAGAGUAGUACUGCUGAUGUAGGAUCAGGACCCCCCCAUUCACAAAGUGUCUCAGAGUAGUACUGCUGAUGUAGGAUCAGGGCCCCCCCAUUCACAAAGUGUCUCAGAGUAGUACUGCUGAUGUAGGAUCAGGGGCCCCCAUUCACAAAGUGUCUCAGAGUAGUACUGCUGAUCAGGACCCCCAUUCACAAAGUGUCUCUGAGUAGUACUGCUGAUGUAGGAUCAGGACCCCCAUUCACAAAGUGUCUCAGAGUAGUACUGCUGAUGUAGGAUCAGGAGCCCCCAUUCACAAAGUGUACAGUUCUGUUACUCUGAGACUGUGAAUAUGGGACCUGAUCCUAGAUCUAGUUCUCUUACUCAGUGUGUGAGUAUGGGACCUGAUCUUAGAUCUAGUUCUGUUACUCUGAGACUGUGAGUAUGGGACCUGAUCCUAGAUCUAGUUCUGUUACUGAGACUGUGAAUAUGGGACCUGAUCUUAGAUCUAGUUAUGUUACUCUGAGACUUGUUUGUGAAUAUGGGACCUGAUCUUAGAUCUAGUUAUGUUACUCUGAGACUUGUUUGUGAAUAUGGGACCUGAUCUUAGAUCUAGUUAUGUUACUCUGAGACUGUGAAUAUGGGACCUGAUCCUAGAUCCAGUUCUGUUACUCUGAGACUUGUUUGUGAAUAUGGGACCUGAUCUUAGAUCUAGUUAUGUUACUCUGAGACUGUGAAUAUGGGACCUGAUCCUAGAUCCAGUUCUGUUACUCUGAGACUUGUUUGUGAAUAUGGGACCUGAUCUUAGAUCUAGUUAUGUUACUCUGAGACUGUGAAUAUGGGACCUGAUCCUAGAUCCAGUUCUGUUACUCUGAGACUUGUUUGUGAAUAUGGGACCUGAUCCUAGAUCCAGUUUGAAUAUGGGACCUGAUCCUAGAUCCAGUUCUGUAACUCUUAAGACUUGUUUCUGAAUAUGUGUACAGCUCUUUAGUAUCACAACUUUGACUUUUUUUUUUUAAUUGAUAGUUCACCUGAAAUUAUAUUUUGAUUUCCUUACCCUGUAAGCAUUCUUGGGACAAAGACUAAAUUGUAAUUAAUAAAAAAUUUAAAAAGAC